AUUGAACGCUGGCGGCAGGCUUAACACAUGCAAGCCGAGCGGAGCGAGGGUGCUUGCACCUUAGCUUAGCGGCGGACGGGUGAGUAAUGCUUAGGAAUCUGCCUAUUAGUGGGGGACAACAUUCCGAAAGGGAUGCUAAUACCGCAUACGCCCGACGGGGGAAAGCAGGGGAUCUUCGGACCUUGCGCUAAUAGAUGAGCUUAAGUCGGAUUAGCUAGUUGGUGGGGUAAAGGCCUACCAAGGCGACGAUCUGUAGCGGGUCUGAGAGGAUGAUCCGCCACACUGGGACUGAGACACGGACCAGACUCCUACGGGAGGCAGCAGUGGGGAAUAUUGGACAAUGGGCGGAAGCCUGAUCCAGCCAUGCCGCGUGUGUGAAGAAGGCCUUUUGGUUGUAAAGCACUUUAAGCGAGGAGGAGGCUCUUAAGGUUAAUACCCUUGAUGAGUGGACGUUACUCGCAGAAUAAGCACCAGCUAACUCUGUGCCAGCCGCCGCGGUAAGAC
rnacentral:rRNA from 1 species